rnacentral:lncRNA from 1 species
GAACAAAAUCACCUACCACCUGGAAAUAGUUAUUAUUUUGUUACAUAUCCUUCCAGAACUGUUCCCUGAAUAUACAUACAUGGUCACACACACACACACUUUUUUUAAAACAAAUUAAGAUCAUAUUGUUUGCACAAUUUUUUAAUGUGUUCUCUGGUAUAUUGUGGACAUCUUUUUUUUUUUUUUUUAGUUGCUUUUGAGACUUCUAUUUCUUUUUUUUAUUUUAUUUUAUUUUAUUAUUAUUUUUUUUUAUUAAUGUUAUGAUAGAUUACAAGCUUGUGAGAUUUCAGUUGUACAUUUUUGUUAGUCAUGUUGUGGGUACACCACUUCCCCCUUCGUACCCUCCCCCCACCCCCCCUUUUCCCUGGUAACCACCGAUCAGAUCUCCUUCUCAAUAUACUAAUUUCCACCUAUGAGUGGAGUCAUAUAGAGAUCGUCUUUCUCUGACUGACUUAUUUCGCUUAACAUAAUGCCCUCGAGGUCCAUCCACGUUGUUGUGAAUGGGCCAAUUUCGUCUUUUUUUAUGGCUGAGUAGUAUUCCAUUGUGUAUAUAUAUAUAUUGUGGACAUCUUUUAAUGUCAAUAAAUAUAGAUCCACACCAUAAUUUUAAGUAAAAUUUUAUUGUUUAUCCAGUCUUUCAUUUGUUUUACCAGUUUCCUAAAGAGAGACAUUUAAAAUGUUCAAUAGUUCUCAUUUUUAUAAAAACAAUUCUAGGUGAACAGCUCAUUCAUGUAUAUUUCCACACUUAUUUAAUUAUUUAUUAAGGUAAGUUCCUAAAAGUAGAAUUUCUGGAUUUAAAUUUACAUGCUUUGUGGGGAGGGGGAAGGAAGCAAAUUGUGUUUGUGUGUGUGUGUGCGUGUGUGUAAACAGACAUCAAGCAGUGUGCUGCCCAGACUUUCCCGCUAAAGAGAGAGAGUCAGCAUGCACCUCCUGGGGUCUGAGAGUAUGUCUCCAAAUGCCCAGCUGCAAGUGAGGCGCCUGUCCUCUUGCUCUGACCUGAAGCCUUGUAAGGUCAUCGGAAUGACUCUCCCUUACUCAUGCUCCCAUCAAGAUAGAAGAACCGGACAUCCUGAUUCUGAAAUAUCUUUGCCCAGAGUAUCAUCCAAGCCUGAGCAGAAGAGCUGGCAGGGCACAGAGUCACACUGA